UUUGAACGCUGGCGGCAGGCUUAACACAUGCAAGUCGAGCGGGGUGAUGGUGCUUGCACUAUCACUUAGCGGCGGACGGGUGAGUAAUGCUUAGGAAUCUGCCUAUUAGUGGGGGACAACAUCUCGAAAGGGAUGCUAAUACCGCAUACGUCCUACGGGAGAAAGCAGGGGAUCACUUGUGACCUUGCGCUAAUAGAUGAGCCUAAGUCGGAUUAGCUAGUUGGUGGGGUAAAGGCCUACCAAGGCGACGAUCUGUAGCGGGUCUGAGAGGAUGAUCCGCCACACUGGGACUGAGACACGGGCCAGACUCCUACGGGAUGCAGCAGUGGGGAAUAUUGGACAAUGGGGGGAACCCUGAUCCAGCCAUGCCGCGUGUGUGAAGAAGGCCUUAUGGUUGUAAAGCACUUUAAGCGAGGAGGAGGCUCUUUUGGUUAAUACCCAAGAUGAGUGGACGUUACUCGCAGAAUAAGCACCGGCUAACUCUGUGCCAGCCGCCGCAGUAA
rnacentral:rRNA from 1 species